AUCUUUUCUUCCUGCCCUGGUAUGCUGGCCAAGCUGGAUGCAUUGUUCCUGACAAACUAAUUCUCCUGCUUCCCAUCCCCCUGAUUCAAUGCCAUGGGGACUGGAUGUCCCUGCAGC